rnacentral:lncRNA from 1 species
UCAGAAUGCAGAAGAAAACUCUACGAUUUGAAUAUCAUAUGUGAAAGAGAAAGAAGAGGUUGUGGUCCCUGACACAGACUGAAGUUCCUCCACCAGGUUUACCCCAUCCUUCUGGAGCACGACGACUGUUUUGUUAAGUGUGACUCGCCAAAAGACCUUGACAUCUUCAAAGGCCCUGUGAGCAAGAAACCCACCAAUGCCUUAACAGAGGGUGUCAUCCCCAUGUCUAAUAGAGUUUAUUAUCAAAUAAUGGUACCUCUUCAUCCAAAGUAUACCAAAUGGUACCUCUUCAUCCAAAGUAUAGCACUUACUUUACCACUGAUGAUGCAGAAAAUGACCAAUUUUCCUCACUACAGAUAAGAGGAUUAAGCCUCAGGGCUUAUGUGGUUUUCUUUGAAUACACUCCAUUCAACAAUGAAUAAGUAUCCUAAUACUCUGUAUAAGGAAUGUAAAAACAAAUAAUAUUUUUCGAGAAGGAAAUAAAGGGCAUCCAAUUAGGAAAAGAGGAAGUCAAAUUGUCCCUGUUUGCAGAUGACAUGAUUGUAUAUUUAGAAAACCCCAUCAUCUCAGCCCAGAAUCUCCUUAAGCUGAUAAGCAACUUCAGCAAAGUCUCAGGAUACAAAAUCAAUGUACAGAAAUCACAAGCACCCUUAUACACCAAUAACAGACAAACAGAGAGCCAAAUCAUGAGUGAACUCCCAUUCACAAUUGCUUCAAA